GAGAGAUUAGAGUCUUCUCUCUUUCUCUCUUUCUCUUUAGCUCAUAGCAGUCUCUCCCUCUCUUGUAAUCUCUCCACCAAAGAGAAAAAAUUGGAGGAGAAAUUGGAGAUUAAGCUUGGAAAUAGCUUGAAGAAGAAACUUGGAGCUCUCCAAUGAUGGAUCAAUUUCUUAACCUUGAUGCCCAAGGAUAAAUCGACGCAGAGGACAACUUCGUUUUAAAUUACGACGAGGUUACGGCAUCCGAUUGAGAAAUUUGCGGAAUUUGGUUCGUUAGGCUUGGAUCAAGAUGAAUCGGCGUCGAAAAUCAAAUUGCUUGGAAAUUAAUCCUAGCAAUUGGUAAUUAGCAAAGAGCCACUAUUUGCGGAGCAGCACCAGAUCGAGGCGAGCGUUGCGCCCUAAAUAGCUGGGUCACUAAGUGUAGGUAGCCCUAUGUAUAAGUAAGAAUGUAAAUGUAAUUUGGGAAGCAAAUGUAAUUGUAUUUUGGAAAGAGAUUCAUGUUUGUAAAGUAAAAAAAUGGGUGUAAAAAUGUGAAUGUUCAAUGUUAUAAUAGUUAGGUUUAUAUUCUCGCUCUUGUGAUAUGUC